rnacentral:rRNA from 1 species
GACGAACGCUGGCGGCGUGCUUUCUUUUUGCAAGUCGAACGAUGAAGUUACUUCGGUAAUGGAUUAGGGGCGAACGGGUGAGGAACACGUGAAAAAUCUGCCCCUCAUUUUGGGAUAACUUCGGGAAACCGAGGCUAAUACCGAAUAUUGAAACAUAAGUGGCAUCACUGAGUUUUGAAAGUUUUUCGAUGAGGGAUGACUUCGCGGCCUAUCAGCUAGUUGGGGAGGUAACGGCUCACCAAGGCAACGACGGGUAGCCGGCCUGAGAGGGCGAACGGCCACACUGGGACUGAGACACGGCCCAAACUCCUACGGGAGGCAGCAGUAGGGAAUAUUGCGCAAUGGAGGAAACUCUGACGCACCGACGCCGCGUGCGGAAUGAAGGCCUUCGGGUUGUAAACCGCUUUCAGUAGGGAAAAAGCGAAAGUGACGGUACCUACAAAAGAAGCACCGGCUAACUAUGUG